CGUAUGCAACCUACCUAUCAGAGGGGAAUAACCCGGCGAAAGUCGGACUAAUACCGCAUAAAACAGGGGCACCGCAUGGUGAUAUUUGUUAAAGAAAUUCGCUGAUAGAUGGGCAUGCGUUCCAUUAGGUAGUGGUGAGGUAACGGCUCACCAAGCCGACGAUGGAUAGGGGAACUGAGAGGUUGGUCCCCCCACACUGGUACUGAGACACGGACCAGACUCCUACGGGAGGCAGCAGUGAGGAAUAUUGGUCAAUGGGCGGGAGCCUGAACCAGCCAAGUCGCGUGAAAAGGAAGAAGGAUCUAUGGUUCGUAAACUUCUUUUGCAGGGGAAUAAAGUGCAGGACGUGUCCUGUUUUGUAUGUACCCUGAGAAUAAGGAUCGGCUAACUCCGUGCCAGCCGCUGC
rnacentral:rRNA from 1 species